AAAAAAAAACUGAAAAACAAUAUAGUUUAAGAGUAGUAAUGAGACUGCUGAAAGGCUUUCUUCAUUUAGAAAGUAAAAUGUGUAAGUUAGAGGUAAAAUUAAUGAUAGUGAAUCUAACAUUAAUGCUGGUAGUGCCAUAGUUGGUCAACCUGAAUUGAUGUUAAUAGCUUUUCAUAGCUUGUUCUUAUUUUGAAAUUCAGGUUAGGAGAAGUGCCUCUUGAGAAUUAUUCUUUUGAGCAGAACAUGCAUUUUAAGAAUGUGUUUUAAGAAGAUUGAAAGACAUGUUAAAUAGAAUUACAUGUUUUAAUCUUUGCAUGACAGUUUCAGAUCUAAGGAUCUUUUUCUAUAGUGUCCAGGAUUCUAGCAGCAUAUCUGCUACUUCGGGUUUGAAUUGCUUUUCUUUUAAUUAGGAAAGAUUGUUGCUGAGUUACUUCUAACUUAGAACCGUAGGCUUGUGGCUUUUGAAACCAAUUAAUAUACUGAAUAAAACACCAAAUGAUGUGAACAGGAUCCCUGCCCAUACCACGUAGCAUUACAUCUUUGGGGAUUUUUUUCUUAACGAUUUUGAAAACCUUUUGUUACUUGCUGGCCUGUAUCAGUGGGACUUGCAGAGCAGGGAGUAGCCCGUUUGUGUCUGUAGUGGGCAUCGCCAGUCUUCUGGGACACUGGCUCUUUGGGGAAUUCCUACCAUGGCAGGCAGAGCUCCCUAGGUCCCCUUCCUGUCCCCCAGUGUGAACGAGAAGGCAGAGGUAGGUGAUGGGAAGAAGGCUGGAGCCCUUGGAGGCCCAUGGGGAGGGUAUUUGGUGGUGGUGACUGGUUUUAGACCUGGCCUUGUCUGUGGGGUGCCCUGCCCAGUGCCCUGAGGCACUUUUUUGGUUGUAUAGCAAGCUGCUAGUGUUGGUACUCUGGAUUUCGUGAAAGAUUCUGUGAAUUCUCCAAUAGUGUCCUUAAAUGCAUGGGUGCACACAGAUACACAUGCAAACAGCUCUUCUCCCUUUGAAUUUAAGAGUUGGUGUCUGAUUCGUGGCAACUAAGAAUUCAGUCACUUCAACAUCCAGAUUUGUGAGUGGUGAAAUGCAUAGUAGAGGCCCUGGUAGAGAAGAGCAGUGAUUUUUCCUUUUUACCCUGGCUGCUUGUGGACUUCUGUUCAGAGAGGACGCGGGCAUUGAAGGAAGACACAGUGAUGUCGCUUUAGUUCUCGGAAGCAGCCUUUGCCUGUAUUCCGGCAGGGCUCUGCACCACACGUAACGGCUCGCCCAGGGGAGCUCACUGAGUGCAGCUCACUGAGUGCAGCUCCUGACUGCAGCUCCUGACUGCUGCCUUUUCCUGGUUACCUCUUUCAUCCCUAAGUGUCCGGCUUGGGAAGUAUACAGUAACGCUCAGGAACUAAUGCAUAACUUCUUGUGCAUAGUUUUGGAUCUGUCUUGGAAAUAGCAGCUGUGGAAAUUUUUUUUUGUGUGUGUGGAAUACUUUUAGUGAGAAGUCGUAUCUGAUACUAGCAAUGGCUUUCUAGUCAACCUUAUUAACAUUAUGUACUAUAAAAUUACGCUCAUUUGAAGUGUAAGUAUAUGUACUGGUGUGAGCACAAUUAAGAUACAGAAUAUUUUCAUUAUUCCCAAAAGGUCCUUUGUGCCCCUUUGUAGUUCAUACUUCUCCCCCAUCACCAAAUUCUUGGCUUUUAAUGUAUAUCAUCUUAGGCUUCCUCCAUGUUAGUUGAUGGUUUGUUGUCUUGUUGUUUGUGGGGAUACUAUAGUAUAAAAAGGUGUGAUUAAUCUCUCGUGUUCUUUUCCAUACUGAACUGUUAAAUCUGAAGAAAAACUAUCAGUGCUGUAUAAAUUUUAAAUCUGGUAAGUAGUACUUUCCCACAUGAAGUUGUUGUGAGUUGGAUGCUUUGUUCUGGUGGAUGGUUUUGCAGUGUAGCUUUUCUUGCUUUCCAGUGGCCUGAAGACAUGCAAUGCUGACGUUUGCUCCAGGGAUACGAUACUGUCUUUUAAUUGCUACGUGGGUCACAUUGGCGGGCAGGAAAGCAUAGUUAUUGAAUGUUGGCCCUAGAGUCAAAAUGUCUGGAUUCACAUCCUUGCUCUGCUGUCUAUUAAACGUGUGACCACAGGUGUGGUCAGAGUCCUCAUGUACAAACCUGCUUACUACCUACUGUGGGGUUUGAAGCUUUUCAAGCCACCAAGAGUUAAUAUUGAGAACCAGCUAUGUACCAGGCAUAUAUCCUACAUCAUGAAGUUUUCAUUUUGUUCAUGGGAGACAAAUAAUAAGUAAAUCACCUAACAGUGUCAGGUGGUGGUAAGUUCUGUGAAGAAAAAUAAAGCAGAGCAGGGAUGAGCACAGCAUCUCUGUGUGUCUGCGGGAGUCGGGGUGGUGUUAGAACUUUAAAUAGUAUGGUCCAGGAAGGCCUUACUCACAAGGUGUAUGACCCGUUGGAGGAAGCGCCACCGCAGAGGCUGAUGGGGUCAGGCCCGGGUGUGAGGCAUCCAGGAGAUACGUGUGGGGAGUAUUGGGGAUGAAUGGAGGGGGAAAAGAAGGUGGUGAGAUCACAAGUGGGACGUCCUGAGGAGUAAAUAAGCGAGACAGAAAAUGCUUUUGUUGCUAAUGAUUACCAUGUGUGUUAGUUACUUUUCUCACUGCUGGGACAAAAUACCCAGCACCCACGGUGAAGGGAGGCUCACAGUUUGUAGAGGUUUCAGUCUGUAAUCUGCUGGCUCCAAGGCAGGGUGGCCGCACAGAAGAGAGCUGCCAGAAAGUAGCAAAGGCAACAAGGGAGGCAGAACAUGCCUGUUUCUGUCCCUUAUAUUGUGUGCAGGCUACCGAGAUUAGGGUGGUGCCGAUUUAGUAAUCACCCACCCUUAGUCCUAGCACUGCACCAUUAAUCACUCCCAGCGUCACACAUUCUAAAUUCAGCCACCUCUGAAAAAGCCUCACCUGUGACUGCAUGAGGCUGUGGGGGGCAUCUGGACACAGCCAUAACACCAUCUAGUGGAGUUUCCUCCCUAGGUCUUACAAGGAACCUUUGCCAGAAAAGAGCUUGUAGAAAGAAGAGAAUCGCCUGAGGCCUUCCUUCAUUUGGCCAUUCGCAGACAUUUGAGGAGUUCUGUUGUUGCUAGAUCUCGCUGUAACAAGAGGGAGCUGGGUCCCCGUGUCUAAGGAGUCUUCCUUCUGGGGUCUUCUGGGGUGGGGCAGAGACGUAAUGGCAGCUGCUGUGUGGUGUUCACGGUGGUGCUGGGUUUCGUGGAAGCCCGGUGUGCUCUAGGAACCCAUGGGAAGGCUCUAAGACUGGACUUCAUGGAAGGGUGGGCAGUUGGUCACGUGACAACUUGUGGCGUUUUGUUGUGUGAAGAAAAGGAAGUGAGUAUGAGUGGGCACGGGGGUGUGAGGCGGGAGAGUGGGCUGCAGGCCGAGGGAGCAGCGUGGGGCAAAUGCAGAGAGCCGGCAGCAGGAUGAGGUGUGGCAGGCUGGAGUGGGGGCCAGGUGGAAUGGACUGAAGAAAAGCGUAGGAGUGGGAAGAGUGGCCAGCUAGGCACGGGGAGGUCCAGGAGAGGGACUAGCGGGGGUGAUUGCUUUGGCUGCUCUAACUCAUGUAAACUGCACCCCGCAAGUAGGUUAGGUCCUGUUAUCCCCAUUUCAAAGAUGAGGAAGCUGAGGUGCAGAGAGGCUAACCAGCAUGCUCAAAGCCACACAGUUUGUAAGUGGUGAAUUGAAUUUCUCACUGUCACGUUCUGACUCCAGGGUCUGGAUGCCCCUCUGCUGCCAGUGAGCCUUAUCCUUCUGAGUACCUGGGACUACAGGCGUGCACCACUGCACCGGGAAGAUUUUAUUUUAAAUAGGACGUUGUGCUUGCCAAGCAGGCACUUGUAC